GACGAACGCUGGCGGCGUGCUUAACACAUGCAAGUCGAACGGAAAGGCCCUGCUUUUGUGGAGUGCUCGAGUGGCGAACGGGUGAGUAACACGUGAGCAACCUGCCCUUGACUUUGGGAUAACUUCAGGAAACUGGGGCUAAUACCGGAUAGGAGCUCCUGCUGCAUGGUGGGGGUUGGAAAGUUUCGGCGGUUGGGGAUGGACUCGCGGCUUAUCAGCUUGUUGGUGGGGUAGUGGCUUACCAAGGCUUUGACGGGUAGCCGGCCUGAGAGGGUGACCGGCCACAUUGGGACUGAGAUACGGCCCAGACUCCUACGGGAGGCAGCAGUGGGGAAUAUUGCACAAUGGGCGGAAGCCUGAUGCAGCAACGCCGCGUGCGGGAUGACGGCCUUCGGGUUGUAAACCGCUUUCGCCUGUGACGAAGCGUGAGUGACGGUAAUGGGUAAAGAAGCACCGGCUAACUACGUG
rnacentral:rRNA from 1 species